CCGAGAUAGCCAAUGCAGCAAGGGAUUUUGUUGUGGAAAUUAAUGAAGAUGUCUCAAAGAAGACGAAGAGUUGGAAGCAGGGCGCACGACAGGAGUUAAUUCAAACUUCUCAUGCUCAUGUGAUUUCUGUUGAUGCAGGUUGUUUCUCGGAUGGCUAUACUGCAUCUGGCUGCGUGUUCAAUGACUAUACAGGUGUAACUACAUUCUCAGCUUGCAAAAAGGAACAAAUGACAGCUGAACCUACAAUUGCUGAAGCUCUUGGCAUCCGCUGGUGUAUGCAGCACACGAAGGAUCAAAGAAUUAAAGAAAAGAAAUCAUUGUGCAGUCAGAUGUGUUGGUUUUAGUGGAAUGCAUUAGGGCAGAUUGUAAAACUCUUAUGAAUGCCUUUAGUAAGACUGUAAUUACCAUGAUCAAUCAUGCAAUUGGAGCAUCUGGAGUCGUAACCAAGGAGUGCAACUUAGAUAUUGAUCAUGGUUGGCUUCUGGCACUGAAUGAAAGCGUGCAAGCACUGUUGGCCAUAUCAAACUGAAAUAUUGUUACUGUGUGAAGGCUUGUAAUUACAUAUAUGUAUUAUUGGACGAGCUGGGACAGAUUGGGAAGAGGUAAAAACAAAGGUGGCUUAGGAUUUAGAGGCUGUUAGUAUAGUGCAUUAUGCUUCUUCCUUUGCUGAAGUGUUCAAUGCAGCCUGUAGACGGCUUUGGGUGUUUUGAAGGUUAAUAUUGAUGUGGGAUGCUUUGAAGGCGGACACACAUGUUG